rnacentral:rRNA from 1 species
GGGGAAUCUUGCGCAAUGGGCGAAAGCCUGACGCAGCGACGCCGCGUGGGGGAAGAAGGCCUUAGGGUUGUAAACCUCUUUCAGGUGGGACGAAGCCACUCGGGUGAAUAGCCUAGAGGGUGACGGUACCGCCAGAAGAAGCCCCGGCUAACUACGUGCCAGCAGCCGCGGUAAUACGUAGGGGGCAAGCGUUGUCCGGAUUUAUUGGGCGUAAAGAGCGUGUAGGCGGCCAGGUAGGUGGGUUGUGAAAGCUGGAGGCUCAACCUUCAGAGGUCGACCCAAACCCCCUGGCUAGAGUCCGGAAGAGGAGAGUGGAAUUCCUGGUGUAGCGGUGAAAUGCGCAGAUAUCAGGAAGAACACCCGUGGCGAAGGCGGCUCUCUGGGACGGUACUGACGCUGAGACGCGAAAGCGUGGGGAGCGAAC